CCUAGCUGUUUAGGCAGAGGUCACGCCACCUUCGGAGGAUGGGGACAUUGCUGUUUUGGUGUUUGGGAUCUCACGGCUGGGAGGCUGUGAUUGGUGAGAGGCUCAGACUUCAAUCAAGAAAAGGAAGCUAAUAUUCCCCAAGAGUACAGUGCAAGAAGGAUGCAGUGAGGAUUCAAAGCUAUAGGUGCCACCAGAUGAUAGACCACGGAGGAGGAAAUCAUCCUGUGCCUCUGAAAGUUGACAGUCUAACUGCAGCCAGAAAGGUCUUUAUGUACUCAGAGAGGCAAGCAUAGGUGAUCGGAGGCAUUUCAGGUGUCCCAUGACUGUCAAGUUCUUCGAUAAAGUGAUCUGAAAAUUACUGGCUGCAAUACAGCCAAUGUGCUUUCCACUGUACACUGAACCCCCCAGGUGUGAGAGCUCCAUCAAAAUCUUCCUCCACGGCUGUGCAUCAAGUGUUGAUUGAGAACAAUCAAGCCCAGAGUAGAUGCAGCUGGUACACAGGUUCUAGCUGUAUUCAGGAUUGAUAUCCAGCAAGCAUCCUUCCCAGAUGAGCUUCUCUGUGAUUGUGUUCACUGAAUAAUCAUCAUCAUAAAACAAUAUGACCACAAAAGAGGAACCUGAGACACAAAUCUCUGGG